GGUCGUAGUAUAGCGGUUAUCAUAUGGGAUUCCGAUGAGAUCCUUCCCAUGACCCAGGUUCGACUCCUGGCAGGACCU